UCGAUGUGCUUGCCGAUCUACCGGGA
rnacentral:piRNA from 1 species